GGGGAAGCAGCGGCGCUGUUGGAGGAGGACGGUGUGUGUGUGUGUGCGCGCGCGGGUGUGUAGAGGUUGCCGGGGGUGGGUGACCUUGGCGACGGUUUGCGGGAAGAUCCGAAUCGCACCAUUUGAUUGAAGCGGCCGCCUCGCUGCUUUGCGGAGGGAGAGGGAUAGAGAUACAGAGAGCCUGUGGGGGCCGCCAUCGCCACCAUGCCCCGCCUGGCCACGGUGCUGUCCCUCUGCUGGACCUGCCUGCUCUUCAGCGCCGGCCUCGGCCUCUUCCUCAGCGGCUUCCUGCUGGUGCGGCUGGAGCUCCGCAGCCCCAGCUCCUGCCUCCACUCCCCCUCCUCCACUCGGGAUUUUAAUUCGUGCUGGAUGCCGAGGCGCUUUUCCAGAGCUGUCGUGGUCGUCAUCGACGCCCUGAGGUUUGACUUUGCCAAGUAUGAUCCUGGAAACACCAAUCCCAAACCGUACGAGAAUAAACUCGAGGUGAUCCAUCAAAACGUCGUUUCUAAACCUCAGCACGCCAGACUGUUCCGUUUCAGAGCCGAUCCGCCCACAACCACCAUGCAGAGGAUUAAAGGGUUGACUACCGGUACCUUGCCUACCUUCAUAGAUGUGGGCAGCAACUUUGCAUCAACAGCAAUUGAGGAAGAUAAUUUGAUCCAACAAUUUGUGCUAAACAAGAAGAAAGUGGUAUUUAUGGGAGAUGACACGUGGGAAGCGCUGUUUCCAAAUAAGUUUGCCCGAUCAUUCCCCUUUUCUUCUUUUAACGUGAGAGACCUUCAUACAGUGGAUGAUGGUAUUCUUCAACAUAUCUUCACAACAGUGGAAGCUGGUGAAUGGGACGUGCUCAUUGCACAUUUUCUAGGCGUUGACCACUGUGGGCAUAGAUAUGGGCCUCGCCACUCAAUGAUGGCAGAAAAGCUCAAUCAGAUGAACCAGAUGCUGAGGUCAUUAAUUGCAACACUUCAAAAUGAUACCUUGUUGGUGGUAAUGGGAGAUCAUGGAAUGACAGAAACAGGAGAUCAUGGGGGUGACAGCGAAGGAGAAGUUGAUGCAGCUUUGUUUAUUUAUAGUCCACUUCCCAUGUUUGAGAUCAAAACUGAAGAUCCAGAGGUCGUGUCUCAGAUAGAUCUUGUACCAACCCUGGCUCUUCUACUUGGGAUUCCUAUUCCAUACAGUAAUAUUGGCAUGGUGAUAGCAGACAUGUUUACCUCUUUACCAAAGCUGGGUGAUGAUCAGUAUCUUGAACAUGCAAAAGCACUUCGCAUUAAUGCCAUUCAGGUGAAUCGAUUUUUGGAAUCUUAUUUUCAAGUAGCUAAGGAUCUUCCCUUGGAAAAGCUAAAUUACCUGAAGCAAUUGUUUUCCACUGCAAUGGCGGAAUACAAUGACCUGAUUACAGACCAACAUGUUUUUGAAAAAUUUAUUCCAAACCAAAACCACCUUGCCAGGAUGCAAAAUCUGAUCAUCACAAUGCGGCGUUACUUGAGGGAGACCAAGGAAAUGUGUCAAGAAUCAUGGGCCCGAUACAACUCUGUGCACAUGCUGUGUGGUAUUAUACUUCUAACAGCAGCCUGCGUACAUUGUUUUCUGGUAUCUGAAAACGUGUCAACUUUUGAAUCCUUACACAGAGUUCUACUUUUCUAUCCAAUUAUCUGGGGCCUGGCUGCAGCGUUAAUAGUCAGUAUCUGGAUGCUGAUAUCUGGCAUUAUGGUAAAGUCUCUGACAUUAUGUUGUUGGGUGGCUGUUGGGUCACAUUUGGGCUUCCAUUGGAAUUUUUGGAGAUCUAAAUACAUUAAGAAUCAAGUUGCAAACAAAUUAUUCCAAAGCUCCAUUGCUGCUAUUCAAGAGAAGUGGCAAAGUUGGUGGAAGAUCUUAAUUCCUUUGGGACUUACCUUAUUACGGUGUGGAGCCAUGUUUUCCAAUAGUUUUGUAGUAAAUGAAGGGCAAGUAGUAUCUUUCCUUUUGAAGUCUAUUGUGACUUUCACAGUCCUAGAACUAAAAUGGAAUGGAAAACUUAAUCAUGGUUUAAAUGUGAUAGACAUGCAUAGGAACCCUAGUUUUGUAACAUAUAAAAGAGAAUCUCUUUACAUAAUUGGAUUACUGGUUACCUUUCUGCUGUGUGUGCUUUGCUCCAAUAACUUUUAUAACUGUCGUGAAGAACUUGCAAAUUGUGAACCCUCUUCCUUCCUCAGGCCUUUGUCAAGUUUAAGUAAUAGGCAAGAAAGGAACGUCCAUUACAUUUUGUCAGUGUUGUCACUUGGAUUCUUGGUCUACCUCAUACGAAAAUGGUUCCUUCAUUACGGAAACCUCAACAGCUCUCAUUUGAUUGUGUUAUUUGUACGUUUGGGUUUCCCUUUUAUCGCUUUUUGCUCAUGCUGCUAUUGGGCUGUAAAUGCUGCCCCUGAAGAAACUUCUGUUAAACUUCAUGAUAUGAAAGAGAAGAUUGUGGUCGUUCUCCCAGGCAUUGUCUUUGGCCUUGUAACAACCGGCUUCUUUAUCGUGCUGUGGAAUCCAAUUACUGUCUUUGUGAAGGAAAAUAGGCAGUCUGAUGAAACUCUUGUCCCUUCCUGUAAAAGCUCUGCUGAAAUGAAAGCAGAUUCUCUACACGUCAUCCCACUGAUAUACCGUAAAAUACAACAAUCAAUGAAAAUAAAUUUUAAUGGUGAUCGGGAUGAAUCUCGGACGGUGGCUGCUUAUGGACUGGGGACUGUAUACUCUGCUGCACUCCUUAUUGUUAUUGUUCUUUUAGCAUUUUUACUUAUUCUGCUUCAUAAUGAGAGAAUGUCACUGGCUUUCCUGCUACUGUUCUUGGAGGGAUUUUCUCUCCUGGAAAUACAUGGUAUGGCAAGGAAUCUUUCAUUACAGACUGAUAACACAGGCUAUUUUACAGUCCCAUGGUAUGCCGUUAUUGCCUGGGUCUUUGCAGCGACACAGUUCUUUUAUGCCACUGGGCAUCAGCCAACAUUCCCAACUAUCCAGUGGAAUGCAGCCUUUGUUGGGUUCUCUGAAGGGCAUAGCACCAAUAUACUGCCAGCAAUAUUGGUUGGAAUGAAUACCUUUGCUUCUCAUAUUCUUUUUGCAGUUAUAUUCUUGAGGUAGUUGGAUGUCCUUUGUUGCUGUUUUGGCCAUUUGUCCGUGAAGUGAAAAACACAAAAAACAAGAGCACCAGAAAGGAGCCUGGAGAUGAGGGGCUGAUGAUGGAGAUGAGGUUGCAAGAAAAUCCUCGGAUGUUUUCCACAGCCUUGCUGCAACUGGGAAUGCGAUACUUAUUCGUCUAUGGCGUGCAGCUUUUGGCUUCUGUGUGUGCAGCUGCCAUAUUAAGAAGACAUUUAAUGGUCUGGAAGAUAUUUGCGCCAAAGUUUCUUUUUGAGGCUUUAGGGUUUAUUGUGAUGAACAUCUACCUUGUUAUCACUUUUUGUUUUGUGAUGCGUGUGGAUGUUGGUGUCAAUACAUGGUUUAAAGGACUCCAGAAGCAGUCAAGGUAGUUGCUGACACCAUUACAAAUGAACUCCAGUGAAGAUUGCUAUAGAUAUUUACAAUGGGACAGAUUGCCAAUCACAUUGAAUACCAAAGGAAAACCAACCUUAACUUAAUUUAAUUAUCUCUAGAUAUAGAAGUUGCCAUUGUAAAAGAAGCACAAAUGACCUUCUUGCCUUCUAUAGCCAUCAAACAAAUGCUGAAGUUCCUUUGUACACACAAGUGAAGAAGGGUUUUGAGCCACUGAAUAAAAGGUAGCUGUCUGCUGUUUCUUGAGGUUGACUAUUACUCGAAAGAAGUUAUUUGUAAAUAAGUGCCAUUUUUAACUCUUGUCUACAUGGUAUGUAGAUGUGACAGCAUAACUUAAAUUACAUUUUUUUUAGUGAAAGACUUCAAGCAUAAAGAUAAACUGCCUCCGGUUUAAUGUUUUGUAAUAUGACAAAUUCCUGUUGUCAUGCAAAUUUAAUUACAAAACCAAACCAGUUGUAGUAUAAUUUUUCAUGUGAAUACUAAAUUUAAAUCUUUAAUGAAGGUUCUUAAUGUUGACAUUUUGCAGAGAUUGUUCCAUUAUAAUGCUGUCAGAUGUAAAAUAGAGUGCAAAUAUUGUGCAAAUCCUUAAAAGAUAUGUUACAUAGUAAUUUCAUUAAUUCAGAUAAAGUGUUUAAAAUGCCAAUGCGAAUACAACAUCUUUGUAUUUGCCUUUGUAUGAACAGAGUAUUUGUCCAAGAAUGCAAUUUACAUUAAGUGUGUUCAUAAUGUCAUAAGGAAUAGGAGUAGAAUUAGGCCUUUCGGCCCAUCAAGUCUACUCUGCCAUUCAAUCACGGCUGAUCUUUCACUCCCUCCUAACUCCAUUCUCCUGCCUUUUCCCCAUAACUAACACCUGUACUAAUCAAGAAUCUAUCUGUCUCUGCUUUAAAUAUAUCCACUGACUCGGCCUCCACAGCCUUCUGUGGCAAAUAUUUCCACAGAUUCACCACCCUCUGACUAAAGUGUUGGAUUUUUCAUCACUCCAAUUUUAAAAAUAAAUAAAUAUCCACUCCAGAUUCUUCAUGUUUCAGCAGCAUAAACAUUCCCAAUUCUGAGAAAAGGUCACAGACCUGAAACCUUGUUUGGUUUUCUUUCCAUUGAUGCUGCUUGAUUGGCCGAGUUCUUAAAGCAUGUUUUUAUUUUCAGAUUCCAGCAGUUUUGUUUUCAGUCCUUUGAGUUUGAAUUAUUUUGGUACGUUUUUAAAUGCAGCAUAAAUUAAUACAUUUUUAAUUACAAUGGCUUAUGUGGGAAGAGCUGCUUUGUAUUAUUGAUAUAUUACAGAAGUGUUGAUCAAAUUUUUUUUUUUCUUCCAAUAGUCAAUUAAACUGUGUGACUGUAGAUAAGUGAUUAGCUGUUUUAAUGCUGUUGCAAUGUUUGUUUGUCUUGUAAAUUCAAUGUUGAUUACUUGUUUAUGAAAUGUCAUACUUUGUUAAUUAAAUUAAAAAAUAAUGAAAAUUAAAAUA